CAACCUGCCCCUCACUCUGGGAUAACCCCGGGAAACCGGAGCUAAUACCGGAUACUCUCGCUGAACCUCCUGGUUCGGCGAGGAAAGGUCCGCCGGUGAGGGAUGGGCCCGCGGCCUAUCAGCUUGUUGGUGAGGUAACGGCUCACCAAGGCGUCGACGGGUAGCUGGUCUGAGAGGACGACCAGCCACACUGGAACUGAGAUACGGUCCAGACUCCUACGGGAGGCAGCAGUGGGGAAUCUUGCGCAAUGGGCGAAAGCCUGACGCAGCGACGCCGCGUGGGGGAUGAAUGCCUUCGGGUUGUAAACCCCUUUCGGCAGGGACGAAGCGAUUGUGACGGUACCUGCAGAAGAAGCUCCGGCUAACUACGUGCCAGCAGCCGCGGUAAGACGUAGGGAGCGAGCGUUGUCCGGAUUCAUUGGGCGUAAAGAGCGCGUAGGCGGUUUGGUAAGUCGGAUGUGAAAACACGAGGCUCAACCUCGUGCGCGCAUCCGAUACUGCCCGACUAGAGGUAGGUAGGGGAGAUCGGAAUUCCUGGUGUAGCGGUGAAAUGCGCAGAUAUCAGGAGGAACACCGGUGGCGAAGGCGGAUCUCUGGGCCUUACCUGACGCUGAGGCGCGAAAGCUAGGGGAGCAAACAGGAUUAGAUACCCUGGUAGUCCUAGCCGUAAACGUUGGGUGCUAGGUGUGGGAGGACAUUGACCCCUUCCGUGCCGAAGCUAACGCAUUAAGCACCCCGCCUGGGGAGUACGGCCGCAAGGCUAAAACUCAAAGGAAUUGACGGAAUCGA
rnacentral:rRNA from 1 species